rnacentral:rRNA from 1 species
UACGGAGGGUGCAAGCGUUAUCCGGAUUUACUGGGUUUAAAGGGUGCGUAGGUGGAUAAUUAAGUCAGUGGUGAAAUCUUCAGGCUUAACCUGGAAACUGCCAUUGAUACUAUUUGUCUUGAAUACUUUGGAGGUAAGCGGAAUAUGUCAUGUAGCGGUGAAAUGCUUAGAUAUGACAUAGAACACCAAUUGCGAAGGCAGCUUACUACACAGUAAUUGACACUGAGGCACGAAAGCGUGGGGAUCAAAACAGG